CGAUAGCGGCGUCGAGCGGCGGACGGGUGAGUAAUGCCUAGGAAAUUGCCCUGAUGUGGGGGAUAACCAUUGGAAACGAUGGCUAAUACCGCAUGAUGCCUACGGGCCAAAGAGGGGGACCUUCGGGCCUCUCGCGUCAGGAUAUGCCUAGGUGGGAUUAGCUAGUUGGUGAGGUAAGGGCUCACCAAGGCGACGAUCCCUAGCUGGUCUGAGAGGAUGAUCAGCCACACUGGAACUGAGACACGGUCCAGACUCCUACGGGAGGCAGCAGUGGGGAAUAUUGCACAAUGGGCGCAAGCCUGAUGCAGCCAUGCCGCGUGUGUGAAGAAGGCCUUCGGGUUGUAAAGCACUUUCAGUCGUGAGGAAGGUAGUGUAGUUAAUAGCUGCAUUAUUUGACGUUAGCGACAGAAGAAGCACCGGCUAACUCCGUGCCAGCAGCCGCGGUAAUACGGAGGGUGCGAGCGUUAAUCGGAAUUACUGGGCGUAAAGCGCAUGCAGGUGGUUUGUUAAGUCAGAUGUGAAAGCCCGGGGCUCAACCUCGGAAUUGCAUUUGAAACUGGCAGACUAGAGUACUGUAGAGGGGGGUAGAAUUUCAGGUGUAGCGGUGAAAUGCGUAGAGAUCUGAAGGAAUACCGGUGGCGAAGGCGGCCCCCUGGACAGAUACUGACACUCAGAUGCGAAAGCGUGGGGAGCAAACAGGAUUAGAUACCCUGGUAGUCCACGCCGUAAACGAUGUCUACUUGGAGGUUGUGGCCUUGAGCCGUGGCUUUCGGAGCUAACGCGUUAAGUAGACCGCCUGGGGAGUACGGUCGCAAGAUUAAAACUCAAAUGAAUUGACGGGGGCCCGCACAAGCGGUGGAGCAUGUGGUUUAAUUCGAUGCAACGCGAAGAACCUUACCUACUCUUGACAUCCAGAGAACUUUCCAGAGAUGGAUUGGUGCCUUCGGGAACUCUGAGACAGGUGCUGCAUGGCUGUCGUCAGCUCGUGUUGUGAAAUGUUGGGUUAAGUCCCGCAACGAGCGCAACCCUUAUCCUUGUUUGCCAGCGAGUAAUGUCGGGAACUCCAGGGAGACUGCCGGUGAUAAACCGGAGGAAGGUGGGGACGACGUCAAGUCAUCAUGGCCCUUACGAGUAGGGCUACACACGUGCUACAAUGGCGCAUACAGAGGGCGGCCAACUUGCGAAAGUGAGCGAAUCCCAAAAAGUGCGUCGUAGUCCGGAUUGGAGUCUGCAACUCGACUCCAUGAAGUCGGAAUCGCUAGUAAUCGUGGAUCAGAAUGCCACGGUGAAUACGUUCCCGGGCCUUGUACACACCGCCCGUCACACCAUGGGAGUGGGCUGCAAAAGAAGUAGGUAGUUUAACCUUCGGGGGGACGCUUACCACUUUGUGGUUCAUGACUGGGGUGAAGUCGUAACAAGGUAGCGCUAGGGGAACCUGGCGCUG
rnacentral:rRNA from 1 species